ACCCAAUAGAUACCCUGGUAGUCCACGCCGUAAACGAUGGAUGCUAGCUGUUAUCAGUAUCGACCCUGGUAGUAGCGAAAGCUAACGCGUUAAGCAUCCCGCCUGUGGAGUACGAGCGCAAGCUUAAAACAUAAAGGAAUUGACGGGGACCCGCACAAGCGGUGGAGCGUGUUGUUUAAUUCGAUGGUAAGCGAAGAACCUUACCCAGGCUUGACAUCCUGCUAAUUUCUCCGAAAGGAGAAAGUGCCUUCGGGCCGCAGUGACAGGUGUUGCAUGGCCGUCGUCAGCUCGUGUCGUGAGAUGUUUGGUUAAGUCCAUCAACGAGCGCAACCCUUUUGAAUAGUUGGA
rnacentral:rRNA from 1 species